rnacentral:rRNA from 1 species
AUUGAACGCUGGCGGCAUGCCUUACACAUGCAAGUCGAACGGCAGCACGGGAGCAAUCCUGGUGGCGAGUGGCGAACGGGUGAGUAAUAUAUCGGAACGUGCCCAGUCGUGGGGAUAACGUAGCGAAAGCUACGCUAAUACCGCAUACGAUCUAUGGAUGAAAGCGGGGGAUCGCAAGACCUCGCGCGAUUGGAGCGGCCGAUAUCAGAUUAGGUAGUUGGUGAGGUAAAGGCUCACCAAGCCGACGAUCUGUCGCUGGUCUGAGAGGACGACCAGCCACACUGGGACUGAGACACGGCCCAGACUCCUACGGGAGGCAGCAGUGGGGAAUUUUGGACAAUGGGCGCAAGCCUGAUCCAGCAAUGCCGCGUGCAGGAUGAAGGCCUUCGGUUGUAAC